ensembl:misc_RNA 7SK 7SK RNA
GGUUGUGAGGACGAUCUGCUUGCGGCAUCUGUCACCCCAUUGAUUGUCAGGGUUGUUCCGGCUGAUCUGGCUGGCUCGGCGGGUGUCCCCUUCCUCCGUCACGCCACCUCUCCAUGUGCGUCCCUCCUGAAGCUGAGCCCUAGGUGGAAGAGGACGACCUCCCCCUGAUAGAGGAGUAUUUCCCCCAUCAAGAGUAUAUGAGUAGCUGAGCUCCCCUCCUAGAACCUCCGAACAAGCUAGGGUCCCAUAGUUAAAUUUACAGGAAUACAGUUUAGGAUGAUGGUUUUCAGGGGCUAAGUGGAGGAGGAAAUGGCCAGUUAUUGUGAAAUGGUACGAAGCUUUAUAUAUAAAUAAAUUCUAUAG